GACGAACGCUGGCGGCGUGCUUAACACAUGCAAGUCGAGCGGUAAGGCCCUUUCGGGGGUACACGAGCGGCGAACGGGUGAGUAACACGUGGGUGACCUGCCCUUAGCUCUGGGAUAAGCCUGGGAAACUGGGUCUAAUACCGGAUAUGACUCCAUGACGCAUGUUGUGGGGUGGAAAGCCUUGUGCGGCUAGGGAUGGGCCCGCGGCCUAUCAGCUUGUUGGUGGGGUGAUGGCCACCAAGGCGACGACGGGUAGCCGGCCUGAGAGGGCGACCGGCCACACUGGGACUGAGACACGGCCCAGACUCCUACGGGAGGCAGCAGUGGGGAAUCUUGCGCAAUGGGCGAAAGCCUGACGCAGCGACGCCGCGUG
rnacentral:rRNA from 1 species